rnacentral:ncRNA from 1 species
CAACUUGAUUGGUUAAGGCUCCCAGUAGACGACUGGGUUGAUAGGCCAGAUGUGGAAGCCCGGUAACGGGUGGAGCUGACUGGUACUAAUAGGCCGAGGGCUUGUCCUC